UACGUAGGGGGCAAGCGUUGUCCGGAAUCAUUGGGCGUAAAGAGCGCGUAGGCGGUCCAGUAAGUCCGCUCUGAAAGUCCGGGGCUCAACCCCGGGAGGCGGGCGGAUACUGCUGGGCUAGAGUCCGGAAGAGGCGAGUGGAAUUCCUGGUGUAGCGGUGAAAUGCGUAGAUAUCAGGAGGAACACCGGUGGUGUAGACGGCUUUCUGGACCGUAACUGACGCUGAGACACGAAAGCGUGGGUAGCAAACAGG
rnacentral:rRNA from 1 species